UACGUAGGGGCGAGCGUUGUCCGGAAUGAUUGGGCGUAAAGGGCGCGUAGGCGGCCUGUCAAGUCAGUAGUGGAAGUCCAUCUUUCAAGGAUGGAAGUGCUACAGAAACUGAUGGGCUUGAGUGCAGGAGAGGUUAUCGGAAUUCCCGGUGUAGCGGUGAAAUGCGUAGAGAUCGGGAGGAACACCAGUGGCGAAGGCGGGUAACUGGACUGCAACUGACGUUGAGGCUCGAAAGCGUGGGGAGCAAACAGGAUUAGAUACCCUGGUA
rnacentral:rRNA from 1 species